rnacentral:rRNA from 1 species
UGCGCAGGCGGACUAUUAAGUCAGUGGUGAAAUCUCUCGGCUCAACCGAGAAACUGCCAUUGAAACUGAUAGCCUUGAGUAUGGUUGUGGUAGGCGGAAUAUAGCAUGUAGCGGUGAAAUGCUUAGAUAUGCUAUAGAACACCGAUCGCGAAGGCAGCUUACCAAACCAUUACUGACGCUCAUGCACGAAAGCGUGGGGGGCAAACAGGAUUAGAUACCCUGGUAGUCC